rnacentral:rRNA from 1 species
GAUGAACGCUGGCGGCGUGCCUAAUACAUGCAAGUCGAGCGAACAGACGAGGAGCUUGCUCCUCUGACGUUAGCGGCGGACGGGUGAGUAACACGUGGAUAACCUACCUAUAAGACUGGGAUCACUUCGGGAAACCGGAGCUAAUACCGGAUAAUAUAUUGAACCGCAUGGUUCAAUAGUGAAAGACGGUUUUGCUGUCACUUCUAGAUGGAUCCGCGCCGCAUUAGCUAGUUGGUAAGGUAACGGCUUACCAAGGCGACGAUGCGUAGCCGACCUGUGAGGGGGAACGGCCACACUGGAACUGAGACGCGGUCCAGACUCCGACGGGAGGCAGCAGUAGGGAAUCUUCCGAAAUGGGCGAAAGCCUGACGGAGCAACGCCGCGUGAGUGAUGAAGGUCUGCGGAUCGUAAAACUCUGUUAUUAGGGAAGAACAAAUGUGUAAGUAACGAUGCACGUCUUGACGGUACCUAAACAGAAAGCCACGGCUAACUACGU